rnacentral:rRNA from 1 species
AGGAAGGUCAGUCCACUCAGGGUUAGUCGGUGCCUAAGCCGAGGUCGAAAGACGUAGGCGAUGGACAGCAGGUCAACAUUCCUGCACCGCCUGAAAAACGUUUGUACGAUGGGGAGACGCGGGAGGAUAAGCAUACACACGGCUGGAAAUGUGUGGCCGCCAGGUAGAGGGAACUUCCAGGUAAAUCCGGAAGUUCUUAACCUCGAGCACGGCGGGGAAGAUUUCCUUCGGGAUUUCCAACUUGUUGAAUCCAUACCGUCAAGAAAAUCCUCUAAGGAGUAUUUCAGGUGGCCGUACCGUAAACCGACACAGGUAGAUGAGGAGAGAAUCCUAAGGCGUACGUGUCAACCCUCUUUAAGGAACUCGGCAAAUUAACCCCGUAACUUCGGAAUAAGGGGAGCCUCGUUAGUGUUGUAUCUCAACUUGCUUGGGAGAAGCAUGAGGAGGCCGCAGAAAAAUGGCCCAGGCGACUGUUUACUAAAAACACAGGUCUCUGCAAAGUCAAAAAAACGACGUAUAGGGACUGACGCCUGCCCGGUGCCGGAAGGUUAAAGGGAGGGGUUAGCUUUCGGGCGAAGCUCUGAUCUGAAGCCCCGGUAAACGGCGGCCGUAACUAUAACGGUCCUAAGGUAGCGAAAUUCCUUGUCGGGUAAGUUCCGACCCGCACGAAUGGCGUAACGACUUGGGCACUGUCUCAAGGAGGGGCACGGCGAAAUUGUAGUACCGGUGAAGAUGCCGGUUACCUGCCGCUGGACGGAAAGACCCCGGCACCUUAACUGCAGCGUAGCAUUGAAUUUUGGGUUAUUAUGUGCAGGAUAGGUGGGAGACUUUGAAGCCCUAACGUAAGUUAGGGUGGAGUCGUCGGUGAGAUACCACUCUUAAUAUUCUGAGGUUCUAACCUACAUCCGUUAUCCGGAUGAGGGACAGUGUUAAGUGGGUAGUUUGACUGGGGCGGUCGCCUCCCAAAAUGUAACGGAGGCGCCCUAAGGUUCCCUCAAGCUGUUUGGAAAUCAGCUGAAGAGUGCAAAGGCAUAAGGGAGCUUGACUGCGAGACUGACAAGUCGAGCAGGUAGGAAACUAGGGCUUAGUGAUCCGGCGGUCCCGUAUGGAAGGGCCGUCGCUCAACGGAUAAAAGGUACGCCGGGGAUAACAGGCUAAUAGGGCCCAAGAGCUCAUAUCGACGGCCCUGUUUGGCACCUCGAUGUCGGCUCAUCGCAUCCUGGGGCUGAAGCCGGUCCCAAGGGUUGGGCUGUUCGCCCAUUAAAGCGGUACGUGAGCUGGGUUUAGAACGUCGCGAGACAGUUCGGUCCCUAUCCACGGUAGGCGUAGGAAAUUUGAGGGGGUCUGUUCCUAGUACGAAAGGACCGGAAUGGACAAACCUAUAGUGUACCAGUUGUCCCGCCAGGGGCAUAGCUGGGUAGCUACGUUUGGUUGAGAUAACCGCUGAAAGCAUAUAAGCGGGAAGCUCGCCCCAAGAUUAGAUUUCCCUUCCCGAGUAAUCGGGCUAAAGGUCCCUUGUAGACUACAAGGUUGAUAGGCUGGGUGUGUAAGUCCGGUAACGGAUUGAGCUAACCAGUACUAAUAGACCGUGAGGCUUGACC